UACGGGAGUGGCAAGCGUUAUCCGGAAUCAUUGGGCGUAAAGCGCCUGUAGGUUGUUUAAUAAGUCUGUUGUUAAAGACUAGGGCUCAACCCUAGAAAAGCAAUGGAAACUACUAGACUAGAGUAUGGCAGGGGUAGAGGGAAUUUCUAGUGUAGCGGUGAAAUGCGUAGAUAUUAGAAAGAACACCAGUGGCGAAAGCGCUCUACUGGGCCAUUUCUGACACUCAGAGGCGAAAGCUAGGGGAGCAAAAGGGAUUAGAUACCCCUGUAGUCCUAGCCGUAAACGAUGGAUACUAGAUGUUGUGAUACCAGUAUCGUAGCUAACGCGUUAAGUAUCCCGCCUGGGGAGUACGCUCGCAAGGGUG
rnacentral:rRNA from 1 species